rnacentral:lncRNA from 1 species
AUACUAUAUAUAUAUAUAUAUAGAGAGAGAGAGAGAGAGAGAGAGAGAGAGAGAGAGAGGGGUAAAGCUACUAUACUUUCAGAAGUAUAUAUAUACUUCCAACUUUUUAGUCCUUAAAUUAACCCUUUGACUAUUUAUGAUCUUUAGAUUAAGAGAGAGAGAGAGAGAGAGAGAGAGUAGAGCUGCUAUACUUUCGAAAGCAUAUAUAUACUUCCAACUUUUUAGUCCUUAAAUCAAUCAUUUGACUAUUUCUGAUUUUUAAAUUAAUAUUAUUAUUCUAGAACAACCACUCAACCCUAAAGGGGACCACUAUUAUUCCGAUCCUACAAUCCUUGAUCCAAGGAUCAAGAAGUCGGAAACAUCAAUUCUCUUAUACUUUCGAUAGUAAAGUAGUUCUAC